rnacentral:rRNA from 1 species
UAUUAUAAAUGGUGUUGAUUUAUUGCUAGGGUAGUAUUAGAUGUUCUUGAAACUCAAAGGAUUUGACGGUAUUUUAGUCCUUUCAGGGGAAUUUAUUCUUUAAUUGAUAAUACACAAUUUGUUUUACUUAAUUAAGUUAUCAGCUUGUAUAUCGCCGUCAUAAGAUUAUUUUUAUUUUGAGAAGUUGAAUUUUCUUAUAUUUUUAGUAGAAGAUAUGUCAGGUCAAGGUGCAGUUUAUGAUUAAGAUAUGAAUGAGUUACAAUAAUUUUAAUUUAUUACGGAUAAUUAUUAUAAGUUUAAUUUGAAGGUGGAUUUGAUUGUAAAUUUAUUUUUGAUUUUUUUGUUGAUUAGGGCUCUAAAAUGUGUACAUAUCGCCCGUCGCUCUCGUAUUAUUUAUAUAUAUAUAUAUA